rnacentral:lncRNA from 1 species
AUUAUGUGCCUAUUUGAUUAUUUGAUGCUAGUAUGCUUAUCGACACAAGUCAUGUCAUUGUAUGAUUAUACAUCUUGUUAUUUAGAACUAGAAAGUGAGGUUUGCACUAUGUCAUAGUUAUGAUAAGGCUUUCAUGAAGAUGAGAUGCAUUAGCUAUGUUAUGCUUAAAACAGUGUAGUCUUGUACAAAAAAUAUUCUGGCUGACUUUUUCCUUUAUUUUGUUUCCAUGUUGACAUGUUUCUCAAUACUUAGAAUUUGGGUUGGGAUUAUCUCAACUCUACAAAACUCGUUUGUAAGGUGAGGAAGAGUGUCUCCCACUUAUAAACACAUUUUUUGGCCAUUUCACACCAAAUCUGAAACUCUCAAUAUACACCUUUCAUGACUAACAUUGGACAUCUGGAGUGUGUCCCGGUAACAGAUGACCCAACAGAUCUGAGAUAGACUCUUAUAUCAUCUUAGAAUUUGGGUUGGAUCUAUCUCUACUGCACAAAAUCGGCUUGUAUCGUAACAGAUGCCUCCCACAUAUAAAUACUUUUUUGUGUCAUAUCAUAUCUAAUGUAUGACUCUCAUAAAUACUAGUCUAGUUGUUGGCAUAUUCAGCUUGAAUUAGCCUCUAUUGCUAUGACUUAUUUGCCAUAGGGAUAAGUUUGUUGGAAAUGAAAGUGUUCACCAUAAAUAUGUACAUAAGAGUCAAUGAAUAUAUAACUACCUCAACUCUGUGUUCUGAGAAAUGAUGUAGGCUUGUUUGAUUGGGGUUGUAUCUUACUCGGAGAAGGUCGUGCCAGAACAUUGUGGUUACACAGAAUGACAAUGCCUUGCACCUUUUUUUGGACACUUAGCACCUUAUGUAUUUUUGGUUGUAUCCUAAUGUCAUGCACCUUACUGUACCUACAUUUAGUUUAGAGUUCAACUUUGACUUAUGUUUUGCUUUGUCUCUAUGCAGUAUCUUCACAAAGAUGAAUACUUGAAAGGGAUCAAAAUAUAUGAGUCAAUUAUUAAAGCAUAUGCAUCCUUUGAUGAACAUGGAAGUGAUGGAAGGAGCAAAGAUGAGUUAUGAGCAAGUGGUGUAGUACUCUGGCUUUGUCGGCAGUUUUAGUUUUUGAUAUGCAACAAUAAAGAGGAUGCUUGAUAUGUAAAAUAAAGAGGAAAUGAACUGUCUAGUUUAACUUUGGCAAAAGCAACUUAGCUUUGUAUGAAUGUUUUCAUAACUAAAUUUUCUGUGCAUAAUUUUAUAAUGGAAAACUAGUCUAUUAUCAUGGUGGCGAAGUAAAAGAUGGAACAUAUUUGCAA